CAGUCGCCGCGGUAAUACGGAGGGCGCGAGCGUUACCCGGAUUUACUGGGCGUAAAGGGCGUGUAGGCGGCCUGGGGCGUCCCAUGUGAAAGGCCACGGCUCAACCGUGGAGGAGCGUGGGAUACGCUCAGGCUAGAGGGUGGGAGAGGGUGGUGGAAUUCCCGGAGUAGCGGUGAAAUGCGCAGAUACCGGGAGGAACGCCGAUGGCGAAGGCAGCCACCUGGUCCACUUCUGACGCUGAGGCGCGAAAGCGUGGGGAGCAAACCGGAUUAGAUACCCGAGUAGUCCCUGUCUCUUAUAC
rnacentral:rRNA from 1 species